CAACUCCUUACUUUUGACCGUGUUAAUUUUUCCACGAUUUACAAAUUCAGCUCAGAAUGAGAAUAUAAGUGUCGUGGCACGAGAUCGUACUGAAAAUUUUUCGGCACGGUACGAUAUCGAUCAUAAAAAUUUAUGUAUGCCGACACAUAAUAGUAUGAAAUAUUUAUUUUCAUUAGCAACAAAAUAUUCUAACUUUUAUUAUAUAUUUUUUAUUAAUUUUUUCAAUUUUAUUGAAAAAAUUACUUAUUAAUUUAAAAAAUAGAGGAUUUUACGCUGUGUCAUCGGCGCGGGGACUGUGUCGUACCAAUAUCUUAUUUACACGAUACGGCACGUACCGAUGGACACUUAAAUUUUUUGUUCAGAAGCGCACCACAAAUCGAAUCGAUUGAAAAAAAAAAACAUAA
rnacentral:lncRNA from 1 species